rnacentral:rRNA from 1 species
GACGAACGCUGGCGGCGUGCCUAAUACAUGCAAGUUGAGCGCUGAAGGUUGGUACUUGUACCGACUGGAUGAGCAGCGAACGGGUGAGUAACGCGUGGGGAAUCUGCCUUUGAGCGGGGGACAACAUUUGGAAACGAAUGCUAAUACCGCAUAAAAACUUUAAACACAAGUUUUAAGUUUGAAAGAUGCAAUUGCAUCACUCAAAGAUGAUCCCGCGUUGUAUUAGCUAGUUGGUGAGGUAAAGGCUCACCAAGGCGAGGAUACAUAGCCGACCUGAGAGGGUGAUCGGCCACAUUGGGAUGGAGACACGGCCCGAACUACUACGGGAGGCAGCAGUAGGGAAUCUUCGGGGAUGGACGAAAGUCUGACCGAGCAACGCCGCGUGAGUGAAGAAUGUUGUCGGAUCGUAAAACUCUGUUGGUAGAGAAGAACGUUGGUGAGAGUGGAAAGCUCAUCAAGUGACGGUAACUACCCAGAAAGGGACGGCUAACUACGUG